rnacentral:rRNA from 1 species
AUUGAACGCUGGCGGCAGGCCUAACACAUGCAAGUCGAGCGGAUGAAGGGAGCUUGCUCCUGGAUUCAGCGGCGGACGGGUGAGUAAUGCCUAGGAAUCUGCCUGGUCGUGGGGGAUAACGUCCGGAAACGGGCGCUAAUCUCGCAUACGUCCUGAGGGAGAAAGUGGGGGAUCUUCGGUCAUAACGCUACCUGCUGAGCCUAGGUCGGAUUAGCUAGUUGGUGGGGUAAAGGCCUACCAAGGCGACGAUCCGUAACUGGUCUGAGAGGAUGAUCAGUCACACUGGAACUGAGACACGGUCCAGACUCCUACGGGAGGCAGCAGUGGGGAAUAUUGGCCAAUGGGCGAAAGCCUGAUCCAGCCAUGCCGCGUGUGUGAAGAAGGUCUUCGGAUUGUAAAGCACUUUAAGUUGGGAGGAAGGGCAGUAAGUUAAUACCUUGCUGUUUUGACGUUACCAACAGAGUAAGCACCGGCUAACUUCGUG